AUUGAACGCUGGCGGCAGGCCUAACACAUGCAAGUCGAGCGGAUGAAGCGAGCUUGCUGCUGGAUUCAGCGGUGGACGGGUGAGUAAUGCCUAUGAAUCUGCCUGGUAGUGGGGGAUAACGUCCUGAAACGGGCGCUAAUACCGCAUACGUCGUGAUGUAGAAAGUGGGGGAUCUUCGGACGUCACGCUAUCAGAUUAGGCUAGGUCGGAUUAGAUAGGUGGUGGGGUAAAGGCCUACCAAGGCGGCGAUCCGUAACUGGUCUGAGAGGAUGGUCAGUCACCCUGGAAGUGAGACACGGUCCAGACUCCUGCGGGAGGACGCAGUCGGGAAUAUUAGACAAUGGGGGAGAGGCUGAUCCAGCCAUGCCGCGUGUGUGAAGAAGGUCUUAGGAUUGUAAAGCACUUUAAGUUGGGAGGAAGGGAAGUAAGUUAAUACCUUGCUGUUUUGACGUUACCAACAGAAUAAGCACCGGCUAACUUCGUG
rnacentral:rRNA from 1 species